UUUCCUACUCCUAUAUAUCCUACAUACCCAUAAAGAAAAUUAGUUACACAUUCAUCCAUUAUAUUAAAAAUACAAAAAAAAAAAAAAAAAAAAAAACUGAACACAUCUUGAAUUUGAAAAUUUCAUAAUCUCAACAAAAUCUCAUCCUAAAACAGAGCUCCUCCAAACACACAACAUCUACCAUCUCUCUCACUCUCUAUUUUCUAAAAAAAUGGCUUCUAAUUUUCAAACAAAUUUUCCAAGAAAAUUUUCAUUUAACCCCAAAUCCAAAUCCCACUUUGGACAAUCUAAAACGGAGAGAGGAAAAAAAUGGAGCGAGGGAUAACAAAUCUACUUCCACGAAGGACACUCCCACCACCUUAUCACCGUUCUGCCUACGUAAUUCCAUGGAUGCAAUCAAAAUGUUGAGCGAAACAAAUAGGGAUGAGAGGAAAAAAAGGUAGAUUUAGAGAGAGGGUGAUGAAAGAAGGAAAAAACGGGAGAUUUAGAGUGAGAAAGAAGGAGAAACAAUGAACACAGAAAAAAUAGAGAACUGAAAAUGGAGGAUGUGAUAGAGAGUGAGUGGGAUUCAAUUUUUACCUUUGUCUCUCUCUAUAUAUACUCGCAGCUGCAAAGAAAAAAUGGGGUGAGUAAAAUG
rnacentral:lncRNA from 1 species